AUACGGAGGGUGCAAGCGUUAUCCGGAAUCAUUGGGUUUAAAGGGUCCGCAGGCGGAUUAAUAAGUCAGUGGUGAAAUCCUCUCGCUCAACGAGAGAACUGCCAUUGAAACUGUUAGUCUUGAAUUCGGUCGAAGUAGGCGGAAUGUGUCAUGUAGCGGUGAAAUGCAUAGACAUGUCACAGAACACCGAUAGCGAAGGCAGCUUACUAGACCUGGAUUGACGCUCAUGGACGAAAGCGUGGGGAGCGAACAGGAUUAGAAACCCUAGUAGUCC
rnacentral:rRNA from 1 species